GAUCAAACGAAAUAAGGCACACGGUGAAUGCCUUGGCAUCGAGAGGCGAUGAAGGACGUGCUAAGCUGCGAUAAGCCUGGGGGAGCUGCACAGAAGCUAUGAUCUCAGGAUGUCCGAAUGGGGCAACCCAGCCGGCCGCGAGGCCGGUUACCCCGCAAGGGGAGCCAACCCGGGGAACUGAAACAUCUCAGUACCCGGAGGAAAAGAAAUCAACCGAGAUUCUCCAAGUAGCGGUGAGCGAACGGGGAAGAGGCCAAACCGAAGGAGCUUGCUCCUUUGGGGUUGUGGGACCACGACAUGGGAUGUACGACGCGAGGGUGAAGCGGCCUGGAAUGGCCUGCCAGAGACGGUGAAAGCCCGGUAACCGGUUGCGUACGACCCCUAGUGGUAUCCCGAGUAGCGCGGGGCACGUGUAAUCCUGCGCGAAUCAGGGGGGACCACCCUCCAAGCCUAAAUACUCCUCGAUGACCGAUAGUGCACGAGUACCGUGAGGGAAAGGUGAAAAGCACGCCAGGUGGCGAGUGAAAUAGAUCCUGAAACCGUGUGCCGACAAGCAGUGGGAGGG
rnacentral:rRNA from 1 species